AUGACCUCUUCUCCUCCUUUCCUCCUUGAACUUUCAGCCCCUGCCACCUCACCCCUAGCAAAAGGUCAUAACAACUACUCCUUCCCUCCUGGGUCUCCGUUGCCCUGCAGUAAAGGAUUCAGCCCUGUCCUCUCUCUUGAGGUGCCUUUGCCGUCCAGGAAAGAGUUCAGCGACCACCUUCCCUGUACUACUGGCCUUUCUCCAAAUGCAGGCAAAAGGCUCACCAUUACAUCUCCUUGCUUACCCCAACGGAUUCCCUCCCCAGCCCCUCAAGCCCCUGUAUCCUCCCCCGCAACCCCACAGAGAAGAUGUUCUUUUGAACCCUUUUCUCCACUCCUAGGAAGACUGUACAGCCAAGAGCCGGCCCAUCCAUCCCCUCCGAGCCCUUGUUUUGACCGAUUCAGCCUUCAGGAGUCACCCUCUCCUGGUCAGCGGAACCCUUAUUGCAACUGCAUCAGUUCCUCAAGAUCUCAGCGUCCAUGUCCUCCAAGCCCAUGUCCUCCAAGCCGGUGCUUUUGUUACUCUAGUCCGGUGACUUCCCCACCUCUCAUUCAUCAACCCCUUAGAACCAGCCCAGUAACUUCCCCUCAACUCACUCAUAUAUCCUUUGAGCCUGCCCCUGUGAUUUCGACUCCCCGUGUGCCCGGGUCCCAGGGAACUUACAUAAUUUCACCCCUUCUUACCCAUAGGCCCCUGAGAUCUGGCCUUACAAUUUCACCUCCCCUUGUUCACCGAACUGUGGAAAGUAGACCUCUGGUAUCCACAUCCAUUUCUCACAGAGUUUUGGAAACUGGACCUGUGAUCUCCCAUUGGUCCUCAGGGAGAAGUUACAAUGACCUUCCUCUUUCCUCAGCAUCUGUCCCACCCGCUGGCAACCUUUACCAUGACCACCCUAAGCCUCCAGACUCUCAUGAACCUAAACUACAGCUUGAUGGAUCUCUUGGGAAAAAUGGUUGUGGCCCUCCACUUUCUUCUCAGGCAGGCAUUUCUUGCUCUCCCAUCUUAACCCAAGAGGGCACUUUUCAUUAUUCCCAUCUUUGCUCAGAGUCCCAGAUCCCUCCCCCUAGGAGCCCUUACUCUGUCAACCUACCACCUGAGAGUGCUGGUUCUCCUGGCUCAUCUCAGCCUCAGCCUUGCUUAGAGUCCUUUCUAUCUUGGGAGACCGAGGGGAACUCUUACCUCUUGCUAACUCCCUGCCCCACAGAAGCACCUCUUCCUCAGUAUGCUUGUCCUACCCUGUAUUUUCCAUCUUCCCUGGGCAACCAGUUUUUAGCUCCACCUCAGUCACCCAGAAGUUAUAAUGAACCUCCUCUCCCUACCCCAGUUCCCCAUCAAGGGAAGUCCCCCAGAUCCUCAGAUUCACGACGCACUCCCUACAGGUGUCGCUCUCUGGUCAACACGUCCCUCCACACCCCUCUUGAUCAUCCUAAGUCCCAUAAGACCAACACCUCCCCUCAGCCUCUCUCCCAGCCCCUUGGCCACUCUUGUCCUCUUAUGGAGCCAUCCAUCACAGCUACUUCAAAUUCCUUACCAAAAGAACAUUCCCCAGAGACUGCUGUGGAUCUAGGAACCCUUAAAACUGUUGCCCCUACUUCCUGUCCUCAGUGCCUGUCUUGUAGUCCUCUCUUGCCCAGUAGAUAUCCCAAGAGCAGUCCCCAUGGGCCACCUCCAGUAUCCCCCUGCAAUACCCAUAUGUAUUCUGUGGUUCCUCCCACUUCCUAUUCAUCCCCACUCUCUAGACCCCUGAACCACUCUACACAUCUCUCUCAGGGUCAGAACCAGCCUGUGGUUCCCUGUGGCACUUAUACUGCCCCCAGGGGUCCACCAGCACCCAAUAGCAAGCCUGCGGUGCCUCCUUGUUCUACCCACAUCUAUUCUUUUAUCCCUCUGAGGACACCCUUUGACCCCCGAUGUUUACCUGUUGUCCCUCGAGUUCGGCUUUGCCCUAACACUAUUCCCUGUGGCCUUCACACCUAUGCUGUGUCCCCUCCAGGCCCACCCAAAGACCCCCCCCAGGUUCCCUACAGCAGUUCUUUGCCUUCACCCAAGAGCUCCACCUGUAGCACUGUUGCCAGUUGUUGUAGUUCAACCGUUAUUAUUAAUGCAUGUCAGAGCAGUGAGAGCCAGAGUAGCCAAAACAGAAGUCAGAGCCAGAACCAGAACAAGAGUUCCCUUAGUAACCAAAGCAAGAGUCCCCAAGGCAGGGGUUCCCGUCGGAGCCGGAGUCGGAGCCAGAGUCGGAGCCGGAGCAGUAGCCCUUCCCAAAGCCAUUCUCAGGACCUUGGCGAGAACACUCACUUGAGCAUCAGUGAGGGCCACAUUGAUAAACUGCACCUUAACAGAAGUCGGAAGGGCAGCAAGAGUCCUCAAGGUGGUAAAAGUAAGAGCCAGAGCAAGAGUCCUCACCAGAGGAGAAGUCAUGGUGGGAGCAAGAGUCCCCACAAUAAGAAGAAAUGAUGACCAGAACACACGUUCUGACCGAGCAGAAGCCACAGUAACAAGACCGCCGGUAAUAGCAUCCCAGUCGCUGCAACCCCAGGCCACGUGUGGGCUCCUCCUCUGAAGGCUUCAGGUCUUUGAAUCUGGUUCAUGUUCUUCACUGCUAUGUUCCAUCACAGUCACCCUAGAAGUUUCUGCUUUAGUUCACACCUUAGGAUUUUGUGAACUGUCUGUCUUCUUCCUUUCUGGGGUCUGGGAAAUCUUCCAAAAGACCUCAGCUCUGUGAUUCUGUGCAUUCUGUUGCCCAUUGACGGCUCCAUCUUCGGCUACCACAGAACCAGAAUUCCCUGCCAGUCGACUUGCUCUGCAAAAUUUUGACAUGACCUAC